rnacentral:rRNA from 1 species
GUCCUACGGGUGGCUGCAGUGGGGAAUCUUGCACAAUGGGGGAAACCCUGAUGCAGCGACGCCGCGUGAGCGAUGAAGCCCUUCGGGGUGUAAAGCUCUUUCGACAGGGACGAUUAUGACGGUACCUGGAGAAGAAGCUGCGGCUAACUACGUGCCAGCAGCCGCGGUAAUACGUAGGCAGCAAACGUUGUUCGGAGUUACUGGGCGUAAAGAGUACGUAGGCGGUUUGCCAAGUUUGGUGUGAAAUCUCCCGGCUUAACUGGGAGGGUGCGCCGAAAACUGGCGAGCUUGAGUGUGGGAGAGGGAAGCGGAAUUCCUGGUGUAGCGGUGAAAUGCGUAGAUAUCAGGAGGAACACCGGUGGUGUAGACGGCUUCCUGGACCACAACUGACGCUGAGGUACGAAAGCGUGGGUAGCAAACAGGAUUAGAUACCCGAGUAGUC